UGUCGGAGUUCUUCAUUCCUGUUUGCUGCCUUACUAGAACUGUGUUGGCUGUAAACCUCUGUGUCCUGUGUAGCAAGCUAAUUCUGCCUUGCCUGUGCAGACUAGAGCUCAACAAAGGGUUAUGGGCCCAGUCAUUGCAGCUGACACAAUGAUCCUGUGAGGUUGUGCAACAGGCAGAGAAUUAGACAGUGCAAAAGAACUGAACAGCCAAGAAGCGUGAAAAGGAUGGCAGUGUUUGGAAGUGCGUCUUAUCCCUUGGAAAGGCUGGGAAGCACCAACUACUCCUACUGGAAGGUAAAGACUGAAAUGCUGCUGGUGAAGGAGGGUGUCUGGCACACUGUUGCAGAAGACCCCCCAGCAGCCCCACCGGCAGAGUGGAUAAGAGCAGCAGAGAAAGCUAAAGCUCUGCUUAUCCUAGCUCUGGAGAACGAACAGUUAAUACAUGUCAGUGGCUUAAACACAGCAAAGGAAGUUUGGAAUGUUUUACGUGCUGUACAUGUGAGAAAAACUGCAGGCUCUAAAGUUUUACUUGCUAAAAGACUGUACCAGACCCGUUACAAAGAGGGAGAGUCCAUGCAGAGGCAUUUACAGAACUUACAACGUUUGUUUGCCAACCUGCAAGAAAUGGACAUGCAGCAUACACAGGAACAGAUGGCAUAUAUUACGCUGUCUACUCUAAAUGAUUCCUGGGAAGGAGUGAUAAGUGCGUUAGAAAGUCUUCCAGAUGCGGACCUCAGCAUGACGUACAUCACAAACGAACUACUUCAAGAAGCAGAACGCCAACAAGAGAAAAGUAAACAGAGCAACAAAGAAAACCCGGAGCGGAAUGCGCAAGGACCGAAGGCGUAUGGAGUGAAACGUUGCUACAGAUGCGGCUCCACAACUCAUCUACGCAGUCAAUGCCAGGCAGAGACGAAAAGAAGAUUGCAAUAAAGCGAGAAAGACCUGUUUAAAGUGCAUGUCGUUGGCACUAAAGACAAGGACAAUGAACUGCAAAACACAUCCUGGGCUGUAGACUCGGGAGCAAGUCAUUUUCUAGUAAAUAAUGAAAAACAGUUUAAAAUCCUGACCCCAACAAAGAACCAGGAAGUUUAUUUGGCGGAUGGAAGCUGUCGGCAAGUUAAAGGGGGGAUGGGAGGCAAAUAAAUUUUGUAGCUGAACGGCCCAUGAAAAACCUUUCCUCAAAGCAAUGCUUUGGACGACAAUGAACACUCACUGACUGCUGCAGUGGUAAUGUUUUCCAUUUCUGACCACAGAGAGUGAUGAAUUGAAAAACAAGCUGCACUCCCAAAAAGAAGGAUGAAAAUAAUCACAAAAAUUCAACCUCCCAUAUGGUGAAAGCCGAGAACUGUAUUGCAAAAUUCAGAGAAGUGUGAAAACUCAAGGAUAACUGCAUCCCGAUCCAUGCAUUAGUUCAGAAAGUGUGAAUCAGGUUGGAUCCCUUAAAAAUGUGGACCAGAUGAAAUCCUUACCUGGUGAGGGCAGUUGAUCUCCUUUCCCUAUUCAGUGGCACUGAGUGGCAGAAGAUGGCAGCCUGCAAUAAACUGCCACAGCAUCUGCCUAUGUCUCUUUCACACAGGAAGCAUCAAUCAGUUUGAAAAUGAAAAUGGACUGCCUUCAAGUCGCUUCCGACCUAUGGUGACCUUAUGAAUAGGGUUUUCAUGCACAGCAAAGAAAAGGCUGGUCUCCAGGGUGAUUUUCCACUCUAAGGUUUUUUUAUGGCUUGAAUUGUCACUGGAAACUUUUUAAGGAGAAGGAAAUCAUUACUCAGGAUUGCAGUCCUCCUAGCGAGUAAAUCCUAUUGAACAAGUUGUAGUGAUGACUUUGGACAGACAGUGGAGAGAAGCUUCCUUGUUCCCUGGAUUACAGCGCAUUUUACCCAGGCAAUGAGGGGCUCAGCUGCUUCUAUUCUCCUCCAGAAAUGCAGACAGCGACUAUUUCUUCAAGACAUUUACUUAGCCUGCCUUGACAGCCCCAGGCUUUUGGCAUCCCAGACAGAUGCUUCGUUUGCUUCUAUGGUUGGGCCAAUCCUGAAGAAGCUUGUAAAACCUCUCGCUCAGGCCAUCUCUGAAACGGUGUCUGCCUAAGUUUUACACAUGACAUUGUUAAUUCAAAUGUGAAGCACUUACAUCACAAGCUGUUUGCCCAGCUAGAGCUUGUGAGGGCAAAACUAGAUGCGACGCCAUCUUUGCAAAUAGCAAUUGCAUGAAUGGAUAUUUUAUUUUGUUUUGAAAGUAAAUGGUUUGGAUCAGGGCAUACACACACUUUGGUCCUAGCUGAACUUAAUUGUACAAUCGUUUAGGUUUGGGCUUUAUCUAUGAGAAGCCUCAAUUUUGGUCAAGAUCAUAUUCAGGGACAAAAUUUCAGCUGGAGAACAGCCAAUGGUGUGGAACAGCCUUAGAUGCUGCUGGAAAGGAAAUGGCAUUAAUAUCUUUUAAAGGAGGAUUCAGUAAUUUUCUAAUGAACACGAACAAGGAUUAUAGAAAAAUUCAUUUGAAUGAUUAAAUUCAAACAUGAGCGGAACAGCAAAGCAACUGCUCAGAAUAAUUUUCACCAGGCACUGAACACUGUCGCUUUAGUGUGAGAGGAUCUAUUGUUUGUGCUUAAUUAUAUAAACAAUGCCAGGACACUUGUAACAAUUGUAUUUAGUAGGGCAUUGUUUUUAUGCUGUCCAGACAAUGCUGUUCUUGGCUGGCAGAUUAUGCACAUUGCUAAUAAAUAAAUAAAAAUAAUGGAAAAUUGAAGGAAAUACUUUCAGAAUUAGUGUUGUUCUUAACUGAAAGCCUUCCAUUUUUAUUGUGCUAGAGAAGCCAAAUGUGCAUUCAGUUUUUAAAAAAAUGUGCCCCAAAUUGUCCACAGUAUGGGGCCAAAGUGAUUCCAUUAAUCAAAUGCGUAAGGUGAGAUGGUCAAAGGGCCACCUCUCUCUGUUGGACAUGCCAGCCCAUACGCACCUGAACCCAUUAGAAGUUGGCCAUUUGUUACAAAAUGUUUGGUACUCAGCUGCAAAUACUCAUGUGCAAAUGCCCAUCUUUUCCUUUCAAAGUACAAUGGAAGUGCUAGGAAAAGAUUAGGCUGUACUUCUGCAUAUUUUGAUGAGAAGAGCUGCUGUUGCCAAACAUAUCUCAUGAUUCAUGUAUAAUAUUUUUUAACUGCAGGGACCACAAUAAAGAAUCGUAGGCAUGUUAUGGGCAGCUAAAAAGUCAAGAAUACACAUGGUUAAGCUACCCUCCAUCAUAAGGUUGCUGAUGGUAGCCUAGAAAGACUCCAGUGAACUCUUACCUAGGCAUCUUAGUGAUCACCUACUACACAUUGGAUUGGGUAUUCCCAACAAAUGCAGCAGAAUGAAGUGGUGGAGUGGGCGUACCCCUUCAGACUGCAGGUCCCAAGACCCUGGCAAGUUCUCGAGGCUUAGUGAACUGACUGCUCCCUGACUAAAGCUGCCUUCCUCAGAUCUGCUGGGUAAUACAAGGUGUAAGGAUGUAUCUGACGAAGAGCACACAGAGGAUGACAGAGUUGCUGAAAUGGACUGGAGAGGUGUCAAAGUGGUGUCCGAUGGAGAGGUGCAAGUCACAAAUUGCAAAUGAUCUUUCUGGAUUACAUGGUAGUGGGAGGGGGAAUAUUCAAGGCCUGAAGUAUAAUAAAAUUCACCAUCUGUAGAAUUUUGAAUGUGGGAUUCAGUUCUUUGUGGACUGCUACCCACAGAGGUUGGAUCCAUGUUCCAGAUGCCGGCUAUUGUGUUAGAAUGGCAGAGUUUCGCUUUGGUGCAAGUAACAUUUGGAACCUGCAUAUGCAUACAUGGUUGAUGUGUAGUCCAAGUCAUUCUAGUCUGUAAGCUUUCCAUACUGGGACUCAAGGCCUUGCCAUGCACUGCACAAAACUCUGGGGACUUCUGUGCCACUAAUAGGCUUUCCAAGAGCUGCAUCACAUUCUUCAUGUCCUUACUUAACUGAGAGACCUCUUGAGUCAAAGCAGUGACCUGAAAUAUUAAAAAACAAUCAUAUUUAUACAACAUUAUUCAAACUAAAAUGAAUUGGUGGAAUCUAACUGAAACCUUUGAAUUCGGGGAAGGGUUUUUGAUCUAGUGGAUGUGUCUACUAAUGGAAGAGGAGGGAGACCAUUUUUGCUAAUUCCCUCUCUCCCCUGCAGUCUCUAGAAAUUGGCCUUAGAGAGUUGGAGAACCUUUUAGAUCAGGGUGGAAGGUGGUGUGGAGGAUUGCAGGGGAAUGGGUGAAAUGACAAAAAUUGCCUCCCAUCUUCUAUUAGUGGCACCAUCUGCUGGAUCAAAAGCCCUUCCAUGAGUGCAAGGACACCAACAGGAUUCCACCCAAUACUCAGAAGGCAAUUCAUUCUGGAUUAUGUUCCCAGUUUCAUAACUUAAUCCAUCUCUCUUGUUCCAGUUGCAAAUUUCUCAUUAAAAACUUAAAGAGGUAAGUUACUUUCUUAAGAAAAUAAAUUAAUCAACUGGUGUUCUGCAUAUUUGUGCAAAUGUACUUUACUAACUGUGUGCCACAGAAGUACUAAUAAACGAUCUGCUUUGAGUUAAAUUAAAGCAAACUGUGUGGCCAAAAUUCUUCAAAGGGGGGUAAGGCAGAAGAUUCAAGAAACCAGACCUAAGUUUUGAGUUAACUGAAUUAUUUCAGAACCAAAAGCACUGCAUUACAGAGGGCAGAUAAUCUGCAAAUAAAAGUAAUUCCCAAAUAUUUGUUUGUUUAUUCUACCUACUAACUAAAGUUCUCAAGGUGGCAAUGUUUGUUAGGGAAAGGGACACAUUACAGCUGAACUAUACAUUCCAUUAAAAGUGUUUUAACUAAUGUGCUUAGAACUGGCUACAUCUCUUCUUUUUAGAAAAGCAACUGUGCCCCCACAAUGUGUAACAUUCCUUCUGCAUCCUUUUCUCACUGAAAUCCAAGCUGUUUUUUGCUCUCCAAAGUGCCAUUUCCAUCAACUAGCAGAUUCAGGGACCAAUUUUCAGUGGGAAUACCAUGCAAGGGAAAGAAUUCAACAACA